rnacentral:rRNA from 1 species
UACGAAGGGUGCUAGCGUUGCUCGGAAUCACUGGGCGUAAAGCGUGCGCAGGCGGCUGUGUAAGACAGAUGUGAAAUCCCUGGGCUUAACCUAGGAACUGCAUUUGUGACGGCAUUGCUAGAGUGUGGUAGAGGGAGAUGGAAUUCCGCAUGUAGCAGUGAAAUGCGUAGAUAUGCGGAGGAACACCAAUGGCGAAGGCAAUCUCCUGGACCUGCACUGACGCUCAUGCACGAAAGCGUGGGGAGCAAACAGG